UGAACGCCGGGAGGGAGGCUAUCCUGCGCAGGUUCGAGGAAGCCGGCCACGGCGACUUGCGAGCGCACAU
rnacentral:SRP_RNA from 14 species